AUUGAACGCUGGCGGCAGGCCUAACACAUGCAAGUCGAGCGGAGCGGCGGACGGGUGAGUAAUGCCUAGGAAUCUGCCUGGUAGUGGGGGAUAACGUCCGGAAACGGGCGCUAAUACCGCAUACUAUCAGAUGAGCCUAGGUCGGAUUAGCUAGUUGGGGGGGUAAAGGCCUACCAGGGCGACGAUCCGUACCGGGUAUGAGGGGAUGAUCAGUCACACGGGAACUGAGCAACGGUCCAGACUCCUACGGGAGGCAGCAGUGGGGAAUAUUGGGCAAUGGGCGAAAGCCUGAUCCAGCCAUGCCGCGGUUAUGAAGAAGGCCUUCGGGUUGUAAAGUACUUUCAGUCGGGAGGCGUUACCGACAGAAGAAGCACCGGCUAACUCCGUGCCAGCAGCCGCGGUAAUUC
rnacentral:rRNA from 1 species